rnacentral:rRNA from 1 species
AUUGAACGCUGGCGGCAUGCUUUACACAUGCAAGUCGAACGGCAGCGCGGGCUUCGGCCUGGCGGCGAGUGGCGAACGGGUGAGUAUUGCAUCGGAACGUGCCCCGUAGUGGGGGAUAGCCCGGCGAAAGCCGGAUUAAUACUGCAUACGACCUGAGGGUGAAAGCGGGGGACGGAAAGGCCUCGCGCUAUUGGAGCGGCCGAUGUCGGAUUAGCUAGUUGGUGGGGUAAAGGCUUACCAAGGCGACGAUCCGUAGCUGGUCUGAGAGGACGACCAGCCACACUGGGACUGGGACACGGCCCAGACUCCUACGGGAGGCAGCAGUGGGGAAUGUUGGACAAUGGUGGCAACCCUGAUCCAGCCAUGCCGCGUGCGGGAAGAAGGCCUUCGGGUUGUAAACCGCUUUUGUUCGGGAAGAAAUCCUCUGGGCUAAUACCCCGGGGGGAUGACGGUACCGGAAGAAUAAGCACCGGCUAACUACGUG